UGAGGAAUAUUGGUCAAUGGCCGAGAGGCUGAACCAGCCAAGUAGCGUGCAGGAUGACGGCCCUCGUGGUUGUAAACUGCUUUUAGUCGGGAAUAAAAGGGGGUUCGUGAACCCCGUAUUGUAUGUACCGUCAGAAAAAGGACCGGCUAAUUCCGUGCCAGCAGCCGCGGUAAUACGGAAGGUCCGGGCGUUAUCCGGAUUUAUUGGGUUUAAAGGGAGCGUAGGCGGGCCGUUAAGUCAGUUGUGAAAGUUCGGGGCUCAACCCCGGAAUUGCAGUUGAAACUGCCGGUCUUGAGUACACGC
rnacentral:rRNA from 1 species